UUUUAUGUGGCCCGGAGAAUCGAACCCUGUGCCCCACACGUGCUAGGUGAACACUCCACCACUGAGCCACAACCCCAGGCCACCAUCACCUCUUGACUGGUGAGGAAGCUCAGCCUUGGAGCGUUGGGGAUGUUACCCAAAGACAAUUGCAAAUGGCAGAGCCAAGUUAGAAACCAGGAAGGGAAGAGAGAUGACUCCAUCUCUCAAUCACUUAGCAACCCAGGAACAGGGUGAAAAGUAUCCCCCGCAGGGACAUGUUGGGGCUCUUCCGUGUGAGACAUCAUCCAGCCCCCAGAACUCAAUGGCACUUUUAGAUUUUAGCACCAUUGCUAAAGUGGCAGGGGACAGGAACAGUUUGGCCCUUGAUGAGCUCUAUAAUGGCAGAAGCCUCUAUAAUGGUGCACUUCUGGGGGACACACGGGACAAGGGAGUGGUAAGUCAGAGAGGAAGACAGACAUUUUAAGCUGUUUUGUGGGUCCCUGGACUCGCUGCAUAUUUUGCAAAUGUACAGCUAAUUCAGCUUAUCAGCCCCCACCUCCCCUUUAAAACUGUUCCAAGAAGCUUUUGUUCAAGAGAAGGAAAGGGCAGACACGUUCUGAUCUAACAGCAUCUAUACCAUCUGAACCUCAGAGCUGACUUCCUCAGUCUCUUGAGGAAGAGAGAGCCAGAGAAAGAGUUGAAAGUAGAAAUACUCUCCCAAGUUUUUGCAUUUAGCUCAUCAAAAGCCGUGCCUGGCCGACUUGAUCCUGGCUGUUUAAGUGAGGGCAGUCUGAGCUGAGCAAGCAAGAAGGGCCCGGGAAUUGGGGGAGCCCCUCACUCCCACCAGUGGAUGGUGGGAAGGGAGAGUGAGGAGGCAGAAUAGAGGGAGGGUCCUUCCUGCAGGCUCAGGCCCAGCUCCGUGAUCCUCAUUUUCUAUCCCAGGAUCUGCCUCCUCCAGAAAUGAUGGACAGGAGUGGAGGAUUGGUUCCUGCUUGGGAAAACCCCUUCCUCCAUUCCUAGGGAUGCUAUCUUGACCUUUGACCCUGACAAGGACACCAGCCUCCUGAUUCUGCCCUUACUGCACCCUGGGGGGCUCAUUCCUGAGGACGUCUUGCUGUCAGGGGAGGGAACCCGUAACCCACACUCAGCAUUUGCAGCCCCAGGCCUGACACUCUGUGUGCUGUGGUCAGCUCUGGGAGAAACUCAGGGUUAAUCGUAGCCAUGUUCUCUGUCACAGGGACCUUUCAGAAUAGUGAGGAAACCAAAUUAAUCAAAUAAUUACAAGUAAAUGCAAACCAAUGUGAUGAAUGCUAGGAAGGAGACACCAAUGGCCCAUUGGAAACAAAUGACUGGAAAGGGGACUUGGUUAGAGGAGGUCCGGGAAGAUAGGCUGAUGUUAGCUAGACGAAGGAGGAGGGAUGGUCCCAGGCAAAGGAAUUGGCAUGCGCAAGGGUCCUGUGGCAGGAGGAAUGGGGUGAGUAAUAAUGUGCUGAAGAAAGACUGAUGUGGCUUAGGACAGAUUGGGAAGUGAACAUAGCAGGACACCAGAGUCAUUUGGAGAGGUUGGGACCACAGCUUGCAGUGCCUUUCACAAAACCCAUGGAUUCUUUUUCAGUUUUAAUCCUAGGACAGGAAAACUCUUACUGUGUUUAUAACAAGGGAGCAGGAUAGUGUGUGUCAAGAAGAAAAUGUCUGGAGCGCGGAUCCUUCCAGAACAUUUGUGUCAGCUACUCUUCUUCGAGGUGUGCUGGUGCGCUCUCUGACUUUCUCACCUACCUUCAGUCCUACCUUCUGAGACCCAACUCCUCCCCUGCACCUCCACCUGGGUCCCUCAGGAGCGGCAGCUCGAGCCAGCCUCGCUGUCGGCCCCUCCGGGUCCCCACCCUGGAGACUGUCUCCCUCCACCCCAUGCCCAAGAUGGAAACUGAGUGUCAGACACCAUGCCUCCCCGACUCCAACCCUCAUCCCACGCCGAGCACCACGCUCUACUAAGUCUGUGUCCCAAAUAUCUCUCCAGUAUACCCAGUUCUUUCUUUCUCUGCCGUCAUGAUGGCCCAGGACACGGCACCAUGGCCUGGGUGCUCUGAACAUCUCCUAACUAGUCUCCCUCCUCCACCUUCCACCACCUUCCUCCACGAUCGUCCUCCACACAGAAGCACAAGAGAUCUUUAAAAUGACUAAGGUGCCCUCUCUAAAGCCUUCCAUGGAUCCCCAUUUCCUUAGGUAUGAGCCAGACUUCUCACCAUGGCUCAUGAGGAAGUGCUCCUGACCAUCUAGCCCAAACCAGUCCUGUAGCGGGCAGAAAUGUUUUCAUUUCCUGUUACAUCCAGCACCUUGUUCACCCCUUUCUCUUAAGCAAUGUCGCACACAACAGCCUCUUGAGAAAUAUUUGAGGAUGGAUUUCCUAAACACAUGAAGGAUCAAGUGAGCAAAUGAAAGAAUGAAUGGGCGUUGACCAGAGCACUUAGCCCUUCUGAGCCAGGGCUGCUGCAGAGCCAUUCCUCGGCUGGGCGGUGGACCUUGUCCCACGUGCCACUCUCUUUACAUGUUUUCUGACUCAAGGUCCCCAUUCACAGAUUCCCAGCCUGAAGGAUUGGCUUUCUCCUCUGCCUUUUAAGUUUUAUAGGUGAGCUUUCAAAACAGCAUCAGGGCGCCCAAGUUUGACUACGUAGAGGGUAAAUUUUAAAACGUGUUUCUUUGCUGACUCCACAUUCCCACAUCAAGCCCACACAGGCACCAGGGGCAGUGGGAAGAAGUCGGCUCCUGCCUUAAGUUCCCCUCCUUGCCUCCUCUGACCUUGACCCAGACACAUUUGAGGGCACCAGUGAAAUCCUUCCUGCCCUUUGCUUGCAUGCCCCACCUGGACCGCAGUGAAGGCACCUUCCUGGGACCUGGCUCCUCCCUGCUCCCCACCUGCUGGGUUGAGCAUCCUCCUGAGUGGCCCCUCACAGUGUGCAGCACUUCUCUCUCCAGGAUCUGUGAGUUUAAUGAACUUGGUCAUCCUCUCUUGUAGCUGCAUUGGACCAAUCAUCGCCUAAAAUAUCACAGAAAUACUAGGGCCUCACACGAGGCCAAUCAUGUUAUUCCCACCUAACAAAGGAGCAAGUGACAUUUCAGGGAGGGUGCAUGAUGUGGUCGCCGUUGGCUCCACAGGGCCACCCUGAUAUGGGCUGCCCUCCGUGUCCCUGGGUUCCACAUCCACAGAUUUAAC
rnacentral:lncRNA from 1 species